rnacentral:lncRNA from 1 species
GCCAAUCACCUAUAAACACGUAGCACAUAACACUCAGCAUACUCGACUAAAUGCAAGAGCCUAAUAAAACAAAUUAACACGUAGCAACAAAACAAGCAACCAAGCUAAUGAACUUAUUAUAUUGGCUAACUAAAACAAAUGAGGAAAGGAAAAAAAUGAAUAAAAAUGCUCUCCAAGCCCUAUCUAUUACAAGCCAAGAGGUGUACACAUACCCCAUAAAAGAAUAACUUAAUAAAAGUAAAAGUAAAUGAAAUAAUGAAAGGAAUUAAUGAAAGGCAAGAAAAGCGAAGCAGACAUGCAAUUCUCACUUAGCACGUUGGAUCACAUAGGGGAGAGACAAAAAGAUAAAAGAAGUUAUACCUCCCCGUUUGUGAUGUUAGUAAAGUGAACAAAACUUAACUUGGGCUAGAGUCACCAAAGAAAGAGAUAACAUGAGCUAAAACCAUCAAAGUAAGGGAUUAAUGCACCAAUUUAACGGUAAAAUGUAAAUAAGACAAUUUGAAUCCACCAAAUCAUCGAAUCCUUCCUCAAUUGCAACUUAAAAAUAAUCAAAUAAUGCACAAUUACAAAGAAGGAAAAUUACCAAGAAGGAAAAUUACCGACCAAUCCCAAAAAUAAUCAUUGACCAAAUCUUUUCAAGUCCAAUUAAACUAUUUGGGAACUUCAAGAGUCCAAGAGCGAAGAAAAGGUCGAGUAAUGGUUCAAAUUGCAAUAUUUUGGGACUCAAUUGCAAUAAAUUGGAACACAAUAGGGCCUUAAUAGCAUGAGGAGGAACAUGUGGGCAAAAGUGCAAAUUCUUAGAAGAUUUUUCCAUGCAUAAUUCACGCAAAAUCUAUGGAGGAAGCUUCUGCUAUCAAAUGAAUGCCUGCGACUUCAACUAAGUAGCAAAACCAAUAACUUUCAUAACCAACAAUCGAAAACAUAGCAGAAAACUAUGCAAGUUCUUAUGAAACUUUCAUGCAAACUUGAAGAAAAAUUCUGCAACAGCAAGUUUCGGCAAUUGAUGAAGCUUUUUUAGCAACAAAACUAGCUGCAACUUUCAUUUUUCCAUUGUCAUGCUCAACGCAAGUGAUGCAAGCUAAACAGAGACAGCAUUCUUUCACCCAAAAUAACCAAACAUGCAUUGUAUCAUUUAGACCCAGUCCUAUACUCUGCAUUCCCAAUGAUUUUCCAACCCAAAUCACGCACAAAGGAAACCAAAAGAAACAGCCAUGCACUCUUUCGCAGAUCCAUUAGCCAGCCCAGAUUUCAGUAACCUUUUGUUAGUCGCCUAGAUGUGAAAUGAGAAGCAACCCGUGCGAAAUCUACCAAUUCCACAACCACAACCUAAUGCCGCAACUUCAAACUAUCUUUAUUAACAUUAUUUAGCACAAAAUAUCUAUCCCAGGAGAUCCAACGAAACAACUAGAAAUGAAUAAUGCAGCAAAGAUAGAAAAAAAAAAAAACAACUUGCGGCAAUUUUCCAGCCAUGGCUCUCUACCCUUGCCAUGUUCAUCAGAUGUAUCCUCCAUCCGAACACAGCCCAAUAUCCCAAUCCAUCAUCAAACCGCAAUCUUAAGUAAGAAAAAAAAAACGAAGUUCAACAUCCGAACAUACAAACAACAAGAGAAAGAGGAUCAGCCAAUAACGAGGCGUCAGCACAAACAAGCCCGAAUCUUUUUCCAUUUCCUGAAAUUUUUAUGCAUCAGAUUCGGAUGACAUGCGUUUUCUUAGCUGGGUUUUGUCAAGAUUCAAGUUCAAAGCAUACAAAAUCUAAACAACCCAACCCAUGAAAUCGAUAUAUACUGAUGUAAAGAGCAGCGAACGAAUCCACUAUAAACCAAACAUUCAACAAGCAGCCCACGGAAAAAAUGCAGUAGCAAGGAUUUCCAAUAUUCUGAUCCAAAUGUCACACUUAUUUGACUAGAAAGGGCUGAAAACAUCACCUUACUCACGGACAAAGCGUGAGAUAACCCAGGAAAAUAACUCAAAUGGAGCGACCGGAUUGCUGAAGUUGCGUCAGUGGCUUUGAGUUCGCGGUGAGGACGGUGGUGAUGAAAUUUCAACUUCCUUUUCUUCUUGUUGUUUUCCCUUCGGCCAGAUAAAAGCCUUAUUUCAAGUCCUCCUCCUCCUUCGUUUUUUUCUCUUUUUUUUUUUCUUCUUUCCUUGUCUCCAACUGCCACCCGAAACUCACUCUCUAAUUCCUCCUCCCUCAGUUUCAAUUUUUCUCUCUCUCUUUUAGCUUUCUCAAACUCUCCAAUGGAAAACCCCCUCCGCUCUCGUUUCUUUCUUGCUCUUUUCGAUACCUUCCCUCACCCUGGUUUUCUUUCCUUUUUUUCAGAUUCGCAGCCGUCACUAGAUGCCCCCUCUUCUUGAACCCUUAGCCUUUUCUUUUAUAUCCCAUCCAAACCCCUUAAACCUUAUCUCAAUGACUCUAAAACAACCUCAGCUCCUCCCCUUCUUGUUAGCCGUAGGAUCUGCCAGAAAAUGGUAUAUGUUUUCACGCUGCUGAUGCGGCUCUUUUCCC